rnacentral:rRNA from 1 species
AACGAACGCUGGCGGCGUGCCUAACACAUGCAAGUCGAACGAGAAAGUUUCCUUCGGGAAACCAGUAAAGUGGCGCAAGGGUGAGUAACACGUGAAUAAUCUGCCUACGAAUUCGGGAUAACUCGACGAAAGUUGUGCUAAUACCGGAUAAGACCACACUUCCUAUGGAGCGUGGCCAAAGGAGCCUCAAGCUCCGUUUGUAGAUGAGUUCGCGGACCAUUAGCUUGUUGGCGGGAUAACAGCCCACCAAGGCGACGAUGGUUAGCCGGCCUGAGAGGGUGAUCGGUCACACUGGAACUGAGACACGGUCCAGACUCCUACGGGAGGCAGCAGUGGGGAAUAUUGGACAAUGGGCGCAAGCCUGAUCCAGCAAUGCCACGUGUGUGAAG